rnacentral:lncRNA from 1 species
AGCUUUACAAAGAAUUGUGAGCAAGAAGUAGGGCUCUCUAUGGAAUGAACAGGACAUCAGCAAUUAUUGAAUUAAAACUUCUAAAACAAAGCUCCCUUUAAUAACGUUGGCCUAGGUCUAGAAAAGAAUGUGCAACGUUUAAUCUUUCAAGCAAAAAGUCGGUAUCUGCGGAAUCUGAAGAAGUUCCUGGAUGUUUCACUGAUGAAUCAGGCCAUACGCACAACUGUAAGGGGAAGAAAAUUCACAGAAGCUGAUCACUUUCAUGUACUUUAAACACCAUUAAUCUGACGCAUUCUCAGGUUAGCUCCUAUGUUCACAUAUAAGUUACCUACUAAGUUCAAGCUGAGCUAAAGACUAUCAGAGACAAGGUAGAAAAUAUGAGAGUGAAGAGUGACCUCUAUAUGGACCACAAGAUAUUGAAGGCUUUCCACUUACUGGAGGAGGUGGAGUAUUCAGGAAGCAAAGAUGAAGGAAAGAUUGAGUUACAGCUGGGAAAAAUUUCACAAAGAUUAAAUGUGUUUGUAUAACUCAUAUAUUAUGUCCCCCUCCACCACUGUCAUUUUGAAAAUGAUAUAUUUUUGGAACUCUCUUAUGCUAUACUUACAUUUACACUGAUUUAUUUCUAUUUUAU